rnacentral:rRNA from 1 species
CGCCUGUUUAUCAAAAACAUCUCUUCUCGUUAGUUUUUGAAGUAUGGCCUGCCCACUGACCUUGAAUGUUGAAGGGCCGCGGUAUUUUGACCGUGCAAAGGUAGCAUAGUCAUUAGUUCUUUAAUUGUGAUCUGGUAUGAAUGGCUUGACGAGGCAUAAGCUGUCUUAAUUUUGAAUUGUUUAUUGAAUUUGGUCUUUGAGUUAAAAUUCUUAGAUGUUUUUAUGGGACGAGAAGACCCUAUAGAGUUUAACAUUUAUUAUGGUCUCUUUCUGUUUGUGAGGGUUCACUAGGGCUGUUUAAUAUGUUUUGUUGGGGUGAUGGGAGGGAUAUUAUUUAACCCCUCCUUUGUGUUGUUAUAUUUAUUUAUAUUUGCUUGAUCCAUUUAUUUUGAUUGUAAGAUUAAAUUACCUUAGGGAUAACAGCGUAA